UUAACAAAAUUGAACACCUAACAUGAGUAAUCUUAAUAAUCAUGGGAGAUUUGCAAAAGUCCCUUUUUCUAAUGACAUUUUGCAACAAUACCCUUUCCUGAUGGCCAUUUUUAAAACUGCCCCUUCUAGUGUGGAAAAUUACUGUCUUGAUCUUAAUGAAUAAUUAGAGUUUCACUUUUAUUUCUCCUGUCGACAAACCUCUUCCUCUUCGACAAACCUCUUCGCCGACGAAUUCAGUUCUCUCCGACAAACCUCUUCGCCGACGAAUUCAGAUCUCUCCAACGCCGAAUUCAUUUCUCUCCGACGCCUAAUUAAUUUCUUUCCGACGCCGAAUUCAUUUCUUUCCGACGACGAAUUCUGAUCUAUCGCCGAAUUUAUUUCUCUCUAACGAGAAACAAUCCCCAGAGAAAUCCGACGAAGAGUUUCCUUCGAUUUGGAGAUCGAUAGAUCCGACAGAGAAAUCGCCAAAUCCGACGAUGGAUUCAGAGAGUGAAAUCCUUACAUUGCCUGAACAGAUCUACAAAGAAGAAGCGUUGAAGAUGUGUGACGAUAGCGGUGUUAAGCUUGUGUAGAAAAAGAAGCCAGUCAAAGAGUCGUAUAUACUACACUACACGAUGAACAAAUAAACGGAGAAGCUUGUUCUUCGACGAUCCUCCUCUGUUCAUAACCUUUCUUUUUUCAUCAAGCUGAAACAUUGACGACAUCUACUUCUUCAGGUUUGUU